GCCGUUGGAGGACGCGCGCGCCUCCGUCGCAGGGUGGGUGCCCGCGCCCGCAGCGUCAGCGGGGCGGCGCGGCGGGAGGUGGCCGAUCGGCUCCCGGCCUCGCAGCCCAGCCCCCGGCCCAGCGGGCCUUACCGCCGCCGCGCCUGGCCGAACCGACCGCACGCUCCGGCUCCCUCGCGGGCGGGAGAACGGAAAACUCCCAACUUCCUGCAACCAGGGAUUUAAGAUAAAUACAACCAGCAUAGAGAAACUCAAAACUAUACAUAAGCCAAACCCAGAUGCCAAGAAGUGGGGAUGAAGGCAGGAUUUCUGACCCUUUGGUUCAGCCGGCCCUGCAAAUAAAAUCCAACCAAAAGAAAUCAAGAAAAUAACCACGAUUCAUACUGAGCUGUGGGAGAAAGAGGGGUGACGGGACAAAGGCUGCCUGUGGAGAGAGGACGGGGUCACUGCUUAAUGAUGGCACCUGGCUCAGCCCCAGCAGACCACAAGAAGCCGGCCCCAGACUCACUCAGUGCCUGCAGCAGCUGUGCGGACGCCGCAUCCUUGGCUGCCGUCAUGCCCGUCCUGCCCAUCUGGGGCCAGCGCAACCCAGAUAAGGCCGCUGAAAGGCACUGGAUGACCAGGGAUCACCGCCUGGUACCAGAAGUGGUGCCAGCCAGCAGGUCCUGUCCCCAAACACUUGGUGAGGAACACUGGGCUGCCCAGCCUCAUUUGUUGGCACAGCAGCUGGAGGGCAGCCCGAGCCCCUUGGGACCCUAGCCUGUCCCUAACCAAGGCCAAUCGGCUGCCCUGCGGCUGUAGGCAGCGCAGUGAGGGACCCGCAAGCUGCUGGCGGAGUCGCUGCUUCGGGCCUGGCUUGAGCCACUCCACGGCCACCUGCCCUCCACAGAGGCGUGACAGCCCUCCCACCAGGGCCUUUGGGGGCAGGCGGCGGCGCUGCGCUGCGAGCUGAACUUGAGCAGCGCGAUCUGCGCGGGCGCCGCCGGGGCUGGGCAGCAGCAGCGCCCCCCUGCAGGCCGGGCGCGGAGGCUGCAGCGCGAGCAGCAGUGGCGGCGGCUCCCGUCGGCGGCGACCCGUCCACGCGCAGCUCGCUCUUCUCGCCGCAGCGGGCGGCUGUGCAGCGGGGCCAUGGCGGCCUGCGCGCCGCGCCGCGAGCUGCAGCGGGCGUCGGGAAGACGCGGUUCAGGCCGCCGAAGGUCAUGGGCAGGCGGAUCUCGCAGGCGGCCCGCGCGCUGCCACAGUGGGAUCUGCUGGUGCUCGGAGACGUCGUGGGGCAGCCGCCCGAGAACACCUCCGAGCCGGCCGGCGGCGGGCUGCCCACCCGGCCUGGGACUGGCCCGCCGUCCUUCCUCUGCCCCUUCACCUGCACCCGCGGACGCCCGUUUCCCUGACCCGCGCCUCCAACACCGCCUCGUUCUCUGGAUUCACUUGCUCACCCCGGAGCUCACACGCCCGCUUGGACUCGUAAGUUUCUACUACAGAAAACCUGGGGAGUACAAUUGAAGCCUCAAUGAGUUUGGGGGGACACAAUUCAAUCCACUACGCUUUCCCCCUACUUAAAAGAAAAUGACUUUUUGAAAACCAGGUCAGUUUUCUUAUAAAAAAAUAUGUCA